GUGUGUAUAGCUCAGUUGGCUAGAGCUUGGUGCUGAUAACACCAGGGUUGCAGGUCCAAUCCCCCUAUGGGAAAGUUUCACAUU